rnacentral:misc_RNA from 1 species
GUGACAAGGAGAGGAUGCUCAGGGUGGGUUGAAAACCUUCACUAAGGUUAUAAUCGGUUGUCGAAUUGUAGAAGCCUAUAUACAGCUGUAACUCAUCUGGUAGGAGAUAAAUCUGACAUAGAUGCUAAAGAUGCCAAGAGAAUAAUAAUGAAAAAAAAAAAAAUAAAAUGGCAGAUCAUACAAUCCCGUACGCCCCUACAAAGUUUGGCCAAGGAAGGGAGUUAGGGCGGGGGACAUGGGAAUUUUAAAGAGACACUUCACAUUACGUUACAUUAGCCAAGAUUUUAAACCGCUGGUCACGUUUACAAGCUUUUUAAAGACGGCGGGAAUGGCGGGAAUGAAGAACACCUUGAAAUUGUUCGUUUAUCGUUAAUUUUCUCGGUCGACGAGCUCGUUUAGUGUAUUGCUGACAAGAGUAUUAUUUUUUAUCAACAGGAUAAUCGGUCGUUUUUCAGUCCCAAAGGAAAAACUUUAAAACCAGGGGCCUCAAAGGUUGAGGAUAAGCGCGGGAAAGACUCAAGUGCGAAGUCUGCAUCGAGGGCCGUGCGAAAAGCAAGAAGAGGAGGAAGUUGUACCCCAGAAGCUAAAGAAAUCUGCCAAACAGAUGGAAACAAAAACAAGCCCGGAGGUUGUGCAUGUUAAGGAGAGCCCUGUAAAGCCUAAAGAAACUCCACAGAAACUGACCUCUGCUCUUGACUUCUUUGGUUCAACUUCUGCAGAAAGAGAAUCACGAAAGGUUGUUGAUACAAAGAGGAAAGAGAGAUCUGAGGAGGCAAAAGAAAAUGGGGGAACACUUACAAAUGAAGACGAGGAGUCACUACAUGGAAAAGAGAAGAGACGGAAGGAAAAUAAAACUCUUAAUGGGAGAGAAACAGAACAGCCAUCCAAGAGAGGAAAAGUACACUCAUCUACCCCACAACUUGAAGUUAAAAAAAAAAAAACAUCUCCUGAAAAGAAGAAGGGAGAAGAAAACUGCCUAGAGGUACUGACAUUUGUUGCUACAGGAGUGCUGGAAAGUGUUGAGAGAGAUGACACUGCAGAUUUGAUUCAGAGGUAUGGUGGCAAGGUGACUGAUCAGUCAGUGAGCAAGAAAACAAGUUAUAUUGUGGUGGGACAGGGUGCUGGUGACAGCAAACUUUCUGAGCUGAGCAGUGCGGUGCAACACAGCUAUGUUGUAGAUGAUGAACUAGUCAAGACAAAACCAGUCAAGACAAAAGCAAGGAAGAAGAUCAGCUAUGAACCUUCCAGCAAGGAAAAGAAGUCAAAGAAGAAAGAAAAAACCGAAGAAGUUGAAAAAUUGAGUCAAGGAAAGGAAAAGCUCAAAGGGGAAUCAUAGCCUCCUAGUGGAUGAUCUGUGUCAUCUUCUGCUACACAGACCCCUACAUUAUCACCUGCGUCAAAAGGAGUCUAGUUUGUUGUUGGUUGACAAAUAUCGCCCUUGCUCAGUGAAGCAGAUUUUUGGCCAGCAAGGUGACAAGAGUAACAUGCGUAAACUGAUGAACUAGCUGAGAGACUGGGAGAAGAACAGAAAGAAACCACCAACUAAAUGUAAGUGGACCUGUGGAUAGUGCAGUGAAAUUCAAAACGAUUUAUUUGUCGUCUUUUUAAUUUACGGUACAUGUACAUGUACAUGUAUUUCUCAAAAUAUUAGUGAUACAUGUAUGCAUGUAUUAAAUAACAUUGUUGGUAAUUUCCAUGACAACAUCAGUUCUGAUAAUUUAAAUUGUAAAUAACCUACAGGUUAUGUACUCUUGGGAUAAAGUGCAUUUAUUAAGGUGGCUCUAUAUAGUAUUUCACAAAGCUUUGGAUAUUAAAUAUGCAUAAGUAAUUUCUCCCUUGGCAAAUGUUUACAACAUAGCACUCGGUAGAAGGUCAAUAAUAAAAAACCUACAGCCUUAGGCUA